CUGCACCAAACUAGUAAUACAAUUCAUCCAGUACUCAUUCUAUAGAUAUCCAUUGAUGUAAGACGAGAGCUCGUGCUAUCAGUAACAAAAGAUUCUCCUUCAGUUUCCUCUCUUUCUCCGUUCACUUUUACCACACUCUAAUGAGAUUACAGUCUGAGCUGAUUCAGUGACUUCGCGAGUGUUUGUUAGCUCCCCAAAGGCUUUGUGCAUAACUGCGGUAUAGAACACAACAUAAAAAACUUAUAUAGAAGUCUUUCGAUACACUUGCUUUUUCUUUUUGAAAGAAAAAAAGUGGCAUAACCAGGGAAUAACUAAUUUCAAAAUUUUAUCAUAACUUACCAGUUUACUCUGUCAUAUAGCAUCUAUCUCCAGCAAGGUUACCAAUACUUGUUCCCGCAAUAUAUCCCCCUGUCCAAGCAUUCUGCAGAAUUGACAGAGUGCUAAACAAUCAGUGAAGAAAUUAGCCUGCUGAUAUAGGAAUAUUGUUCAUACACCCCCUCAUUCCCUUUUCCUGCCCCACCCCAAAUAAAAAUAUUAAAAGAAAGAAAAGGGAGAAAAAAACACAGGAAACAAGACACAUAGGUAAAGUAUGUUUAGUUCAGACAGCGAAUAGGUAAAGUAGGUGUAGUUAAGAACAUAGGUAAAGUAGGUUUAGUUCAGAAGCGUAUUAGGAGUCAGACAGCAGAUCAUGGUAAAGAGCCGUGAUGUCAGAUUUAGCAGUGUCUGGUUUCACAUUUGCCAGCUUGUAAGUCCCAACUCCAUGGAUACACACACUUUUAACUUCAUAGAGGC
rnacentral:lncRNA from 1 species